ACUUGAUCUCUCAUAAUUUUUCUCGAAUAUGCAUGUGUGUGUGUAUCAUAUAUUACAGAAGGAAAUGUGGGAGAGCCCUCCAUGGUUUAGUUACAUUAGGGGUUACAUGACGCUACACCGCCCUCCACCUCAAGUGCGUUAUACGGACUACUCACUAUGCGCCCACUCCAGUGUCACCAUGAAGAACGCUUCCAGGUUUCCUCGAAGCAGACCCGCCUACAUCCACACCCUGCUCUCACUCGCGAUCCGGCCCAGAACCUGCUGUGGGCAGGCCGUCACUCCGUCGAAGACUAUGGCAUUCCUAUGAUUCCAUAUUUCCCACAUGGAAAGGAGGCAUGCGGUCCAAACCAUCUUCACGUUGUGUCCCUACCACCCUGCCUGGUGCACCAGCCCUACAGUGCCUCUCCUGGUAACUCGUGUGCAGAAUGCCUAGGGUGGAGAAGACCUUUGCCCAUACCUCCCGCGGGAGAGGGCACUCGAUAAGUAUAUGGCCAAUCGUCUCAGCAUGUUGGUUGCAAAAAGGGCACGAGAUCGAUCCAGCGUGGUAGUCGUAACAGCUUAUUGAAGGCCCGAGCCUUUUGUGUCAAACAUCACCUGCCCCAUGCCAUGGUUCUCUGUCAAGGUAACAGCGUAUAAGACUAGCCAUAGUGGGAAGUAACUAAGUAGUAACAUCAACGCCACGUAGGUAAAAAAUCUGACGUGGCAAGUAAUUAAUACGGAGAGAGAUGGUGGUAGUAACAUAGCUAGUUACCAUCACAUCACAUAUUUCAAUGCAUUAUGUGUCUAUAACCUAAUAAAUGCUAGUUUGCAUGACACCACAUGUAUGUUACUCCCCAUUAUGAAGGUAGUAACAUAGAGUAGUAACAACAUUAUGUUACUACUCCUAGUUACUCCCCAUUAUGAGCAGAAGAGUCCGGCCGCUUUAGCAUGUAAUGGCUCGCUCAUGUUAGUUAGGCUGCCAACUGCAGCAAAGAGGACGUCACCCGUAUGAUCUCGUGCAACACAUCCCCUGCACGAGAUCCCCGUCCCGCUUGUUGCGAUGUCUGAUAAAAGGCUCCGUCAAUGUUUACCUAGACCAGAUCGACCUCGGGUUUGGCCCAACUUGAUCGUGUUCACAAUGACAACUUCUUCGGUGUAGNN
rnacentral:lncRNA from 1 species